rnacentral:tRNA from 1 species
AGCAGUGUGGCUUAGUAGUAAAGUAUUUGCUUGGCAAGUAUAAGACUGGGUUUAAAACCCCAGUGUCA